UGGGGAAUUUUGGACAAUGGGCGAAAGCCUGAUCCAGCAAUGCCGCGUGCAGGAUGAAGGCCUUCGGGUUGUAAACUGCUUUUGUACGGAACGAAAAAGCUUCUCCUAAUACGAGAGGCCCAUGACGGUACCGUAAGAAUAAGCACCGGCUAACUACGUGCCAGCAGCCGCGGUAAUACGUAGGGUGCGAGCGUUAAUCGGAAUUACUGGGCGUAAAGCGUGCGCAGGCGGUUAUGUAAGACAGAUGUGAAAUCCCCGGGCUCAACCUGGGAACUGCAUUUGUGACUGCAUGGCUAGAGUACGGUAGAGGGGGAUGGAAUUCCGCGUGUAGCAGUGAAAUGCGUAGAUAUGCGGAGGAACACCGAUGGCGAAGGCAAUCCCCUGGACCUGUACUGACGCUCAUGCACGAAAGCGUGGGGAGCAAACAGGAUUAGAUACCCCCGUAGUC
rnacentral:rRNA from 1 species